rnacentral:rRNA from 1 species
AGAUUGAACGCUGGCGGCAGGCCUAACACAUGCAAGUCGAGCGGCAGCGGGAAGAUAGYUURCUAUCUUUGCCGGCGAGCGGCGGACGGGUGAGUAAUGCCUAGGGAUCUGCCCAGUCGAGGGGGAUAACAGUUGGAAACGACUGCUAAUACCGCAUACGCCCUACGGGGGAAAGGAGGGGACCUUCGGGCCUUCCGCGAUUGGAUGAACCUAGGUGGGAUUAGCUAGUUGGUGAGGUAAUGGCUCACCAAGGCGACGAUCCCUAGCUGUUCUGAGAGGAUGAUCAGCCACACUGGGACUGAGACACGGCCCAGACUCCUACGGGAGGCAGCAGUGGGGAAUAUUGCACAAUGGGGGAAACCCUGAUGCAGCCAUGCCGCGUGUGUGAAGAAGGCCUUCGGGUUGUAAAGCACUUUCAGUAGGGAGGAAAGGUAGCAGCUUAAUACGCUGUUGCUGUGACGUUACCUACAGAAGAAGGACC